UACGAAGGGGGCUAGCGUUGUUCGGAUUUACUGGGCGUAAAGCGCACGUAGGCGGAUUGUUAAGUCAGGGGUGAAAUCCUGGAGCUCAACUCCAGAACUGCCUCUGAUACUGGCAAUCUCGAGUCCGGAAGAGGUGAGUGGAACUCCUAGUGUAGAGGUGGAAUUCGUAGAUAUUAGGAAGAACACCAGUGGCGAAGGCGGCUCACUGGUCCGGUACUGACGCUGAGGUGCGAAAGCGUGGGGAGCAACAGGAU
rnacentral:rRNA from 1 species